rnacentral:ncRNA from 1 species
UUAACAGAUUGCCUCUGUCAUUACCCGCCAAGAGUGGAUAUGGGAAUGUAAUUGAUGA